UGGGGAAUUUUGGACAAUGGGUGAGAGCCUGAUCCAGCCAUGCCGCGUGCAGGAAGAAGGCGUUAUGCGUUGUAAACUGCUUUUGCCAGGGGAUAAAAAGACCGUGCGCGGUUAAUUGAAGGUACCUGGUGAAUAAGCCACGGCUAACUACGUGCCAGCAGCCGCGGUAAUACGUAGGUGGCAAGCGUUGUCCGGAUUUAUUGGGUUUAAAGGGUGCGUAGGUGGCCCUGUAAGUCAGUGGUGAAAUAUCUCAGCUUAACUGAGAGGGUGCCAUUGAUACUGCAGGGCUUGAGUACAGAUGAGGUAGGCGGAAUUGACGGUGUAGCGGUGAAAUGCAUAGAUAUCGUCAAGAACACCGAUAGCGAAGGCAGCUUACCAAGCUGUAACUGACACUGAGGCACGAAAGUGUGGGGAUCAAACAGGAUUAGAUACCCAUGUAGUCCCUGAGCGGGCUGGCAAGGCGCAU
rnacentral:rRNA from 1 species